AGAUUUUAGGAAGGAAAGGGGAAGCGAGAAUCCUUUUCCAAAGGCGGUGAAUGGCUUUUAGCAAGCCCCUCUUGGUCAUUCGAACCAAUCAAGCUAUUGGAUAUGGAUCGACUCGAAAACCUAACGCACUCCGGCUUUCAAGCCUACGUUUGCUGGAAUGACUGAUCUUAUUACAAGGCUGGUUGUUGUUGUGACUGAUUGGCACUGAUUCCCUCCGAUUUUGAUCUGCUAGCAACUCCGAUAGUGUUGCCAAUUCCGCACCUCUCUUUGACGGCCAAG
rnacentral:lncRNA from 1 species